rnacentral:rRNA from 1 species
GACAGAGGGCUCGGGUGUUAUUCGUUUUGAUUGGGUGUAAAGGGUACGUAGGCGGCGUCUCCUCUUUUGGCCAAAAUCGCAGAGUGUUCCUGUGCGGUGACCUUCUGAGUAUGGCGCUUGUGUUGGAGAGAGGUCGGUUCAAAUUCUCAUGUAGGGGUGAGAUCCAUCGAUAUGAGAAAGAAUGUCAGCGGGCGGAGGCGUCCUUCCCGCUCCAACAGACGCUAAGGUACGGAAGCUUAGGGAGCAAACGAG